AUUUCAGGUCAUUUGGGUAAAUAUUUUUGAACUAAGGUUAUUUUUAUAAAUAUUAAUUUUUUGGGAUUAAAUGAGUAAAAUAGUCAAAUUUUUAUCAUUUUAAAGAAUUCAGGAUUUUUAUCAAAAUAUUAUAAAAAAAUAAAAAAAUACCAAAAUAUUAUAAACUUUUUUUUAUUUACCAAAAUAAUACAAAAAAAUAAAACAGAAAAAAAAAGCUGGGACGACGUGACAGCACACUGGUGGAGGGGAUGCCAUAGGCGGCACCAGUUGUGCCAGUGGCAGAGGCGGCACCGAUGGUGCCCCUGCCAUAGGCGGCACUGCCCCUAUAAUAGGGAUCAUUCGGCUGGUGGGUGGGGGGAAGAGAAGGAGAGGGAAAGGAGAAGAAAGAAAGAAAGAAAAAUAAAGAAAAGGAAAGGAGAUGAGAGGAAAGAAAGAAAAAGAAGGAAAGAAAAGGAAAGAAGAAGAAAAAAGAAAGAAAAAGAAGGAAAGAAAAUGAAAUGAGAAGAAAAAAGAAAGAAAGAAGAAGAAGAGGGAAGGAAGGAAAAAGAAAGAAAAAAAGGU
rnacentral:lncRNA from 1 species